GAUGAACGCUGGCGGCGUGCCUAAUACAUGCAAGUCGAGCGAAUGGAUUAAGAGCUUGCUCUUAUGAAGUUAGCGGCGGACGGGUGAGUAACACGUGGGUAACCUGCCCAUAAGACUGGGAUAACUCCGGGAAACCGGGGCUAAUACCGGAUAACAUUUUGAACCGCAUGGUUCGAAAUUGAAAGGCGGCUUCGGCUGUCACUUAUGGAUGGACCCGCGUGGCAUUAGCUAGUUGGUGAGGUAACGGCUCACCAAGGCAACGAUGCGUAGCCGACCUGAGAGGGUGAUCGGCCACACUGUGACUGGGACACGGCCCAGACUCCUGCGGGAGGCAGCAGUAGGGAAUCUGCCGCAAUGGACGAAAGUCGGACGGAGCAACGCCGCGUGAGUGAUGAAGGCUUUCGAGUCGUAAAACUCUGUUGUUAGGGAAGAACAAGUGCUAGUUGAAUAAGCUGGCACCUUGACGGUACCUAACCAGAAAGCCACGGCUAACUACGUGCCAGCCGCCGCCGUAA
rnacentral:rRNA from 1 species